ensembl:lncRNA
CCAAUAUUCAGAAGAAAGUCACUGAUCCUUCCCAUACUCAAAGGGAUUACACAAAGGUGUGAAUACCAGGAGCUGGAGAACCUGAAAACACUCUAAAGUCUGUCUGCUACACAUCUGUUUUGGUAAAAGGAGAGGUGCAUAUUCACAGCAGAGACGAGACAACUUCAAGUCAAUGCAAGUGUGUUCUAGAAAACACUACAUUAGUCAGUUAAGCUGACAGCUGACACUAGUCUUGCUCCAAAAUGAGCCAAACUCAGGACCAAGACAAGGAAGGGGGCAGCAACAGUCUCCCCUGGUGCUGUGAGAUUGGUUUUCUGUGUUGGAAGGAGAGCAUGGAGAGCAGCUGCUGUCUCCCGGCCUGGUGCAGAGUAUACAAGAGUGCGUGGCACAGAAUUCAUCUACCAAAUAUCCCAACAGGUUAACCAGUUCUGGAGGGAGGAAGUCACAGCUCUUACUUUUGAAGGUUCUUUGUAUUGAGUAUAAAAGAGUCUGUGUUUCUGG